rnacentral:rRNA from 1 species
UACGUAGGGUCCGAGCGUUGUCCGGAAUUACUGGGCGUAAAGCGCGCGCAGGCGGCCCCGCGAGGUGUCACGUGAAAGCCCCGGGCUCAACCCGGGAGGGUCGUGGCAAACCGGCGGGCUUGAGGCCGGUAGAGGUGGGUGGAACUCCUGGUGGAGUGGUGAAAUGCGUAGAGAUCAGGAAGAACACCCGUGGCGAAGGCGGCCCACUGGGCCGGUACUGACGCUGAGGCGCGAAGGCGUGGGGAGCGAACGGG